rnacentral:rRNA from 1 species
UUGAACGCUGGCGGCAUGCUUUACACAUGCAAGUCGAACGGUAACAGCACUUCGGUGGCUGACGAGUGGCGAACGGGUGAGUAAUACAUCGGAACGUGCCUAGUAGUGGGGGAUAACUACUCGAAAGAGUAGCUAAUACCGCAUGAGAUCUAAGGAUGAAAGCAGGGGACCUUCGGGCCUUGCGCUACUAGAGCGGCUGAUGGCAGAUUAGGUAGUUGGUGGGAUAAAAGCUUACCAAGCCGACGAUCUGUAGCUGGUCUGAGAGGACGACCAGCCACACUGGGACUGAGACACGGCCCAGACUCCUACGGGAGGCAGCAGUGGGGAAUUUUGGACAAUGGGCGCAAGCCUGAUCCAGCAAUGCCGCGUGCAGGAUGAAGGCCUUCGGGUUGUAAACUGCUUUUGUACGGAACGAAAAGCCCUCUUCUAAUACAGGAGGGUCAUGACGGUACCGUAAGAAUAAGCACCGGCUAACUACGU